UGAUACGUAGGGUGCGAGCGUUGUCCGGAAUUAUUGGGCGUAAAGAGCUUGUAGGCGGUUGAUUGCGUCAGAAGUGAAAUCUCAGGGCUUAACCCUGAGCGUGCUUCUGAUACGGGUUGACUAGAGGAAAGUAGGGGAGAACGGAAUUCCUGGUGGAGCGGUGGAAUGCGCAGAUAUCAGGAGGAACACCGGUGGCGAAGGCGGUUCUCUGGACUUUUCCUGACGCUGAGAAGCGAAAGCGUGGGGAGCAAACAGGCUUAGAUACCCUGGUAGUCCACGCCGUAAACGGUGGGUACUAGGUGUGGGGGACUUCCACGUUCUCCGUGCCGUAGCUAACGCAUUAAGUACCCCGCCUGGGGAGUACGGCCGCAAGGCUAAAACUUAAAUGAAUUGACGG
rnacentral:rRNA from 1 species